rnacentral:lncRNA from 1 species
UUCUUUGCACCUCCAUUUCUGUCAGCCGAUUUGCAUCUCUUUGCAUCGGAGUUCUCCUCCUCUGUCAUCUGCAUUUGAGAGGAACAUGGAAUUAGCAUAAAGAUUGGCAAAAGAAGCAGAAUUGUGAGUCAAUUCAACCAUACAUUAGCCGGGGGAUUAGUGGCAGAAGAAGAUAAAGGUGCCUCCCUUCCUUUCCGCUUUGCCGCUGUCUUCCAUUUCCCUGAAUUGUUGUCUGCGAUACCUCUCAGGGAUGAUGCCUCCGCCGUCAUCCGAUGGGACAACGACGACUCCUCCGGGCCAUUUCCGAGCUCGGACUCCUCCGCUGUCGAAGAUCCACCAAUUGUCGACCUCAUCUCCGUCUCCAGAUGGGCAGGGCGUUCGCUCCUGCUCUGUCCA